rnacentral:rRNA from 1 species
GAUGAACGCUGGCGGCGUGCUUAACACAUGCAAGUCGAACGAAAAGGCGCUGACGUUGCUACUCGGACGGUGACGGCGGGAGUGAGAGGAACGUAAGGAGCACCUACCUAUGAGACUGGGAUAACUACGGGAAACCGGUGCUAAUACCGGAUAAUAUCUUGAUGCGCGGGGUUGGAUAGUGAAGGACGGUUUUGCUGGCACCUCUAGAUGGAUCCGCGCUGGAUUGGCUAGUUGGUAGGGUAACGGCUUACGAAGGCGACGAUGCGUGGCCGACCGGCGAGGGGGAUCGGCCCCACUGGGACUGAGACACGGUCCAGGCUCCUAGGGGAGGCCGCAGUAGGGAAUGUUGGGCAAUGGGCGGAAGCCUGACGGAGCGGCGCCGCGUGGGUGAUGAAGGUCCUCGGGUCGUAAAACUCUGUUAUUAGGGAAGAACAAAUGUGGAAGGAACUAAGCACGUCUUGACGGUACCUAAUGAGAAAGCACCGGCUAACUACGUG